AACGAACGCUGGCGGCGUGCCUAACACAUGCAAGUCGAGCGAGAAAGCCCGCAAGGGUGAGUAAAGCGGCGCACGGGUGCGUAACACGUGAGUAAUCUGCCCUGAAGUCCGGAAUAACUCGCCGAAAGGCGUGCUAAUGCCGGAUGAGACCACGGGAGCUUCGGCUCCUGCGGGAAAAGGUGGCCUCUGUACACAAGCUAUCGCUUCAGGAUGAGCUCGCGGCCCAUCAGCUCGUUGGCGGGGUAAUGGCCCACCAAGGCUACGACGGGUAGCUGGUCUGAGAGGACGAUCAGCCACACUGGAACUGAGACACGGUCCAGACUCCUACGGGAGGCAGCAGUGGGGAAUCUUGCGCAAUGGGCGAAAGCCUGACGCAGCAACGCCGCGUGUGUGAUGAAGGUCUUCGGAUCGUAAAGCACUGUCGCGAGGGACGAAUAAGGGGCGGGCUAACAUCCCGUUCCGAUGACGGUACCUCGAGAGGAAGCACCGGCUAACUCUGUGCCAGCAGCCGCGGUAAUACAGAGGGUGCAAGCGUUGUUCGGAAUUAUUGGGCGUAAAGCGCGUGUAGGCGGCUUUGUAAGUUGGGUGUGAAAGCCCUCGGCUUAACCGAGGAAGUGCGCCCAAAACUGCAUGGCUUGAGUACCGGAGAGGGUGGCGGAAUUCCCGGUGUAGAGGUGAAAUUCGUAGAUAUCGGGAGGAACACCAGCGGCGAAGGCGGCCACCUGGACGGAUACUGACGCUGAGACGCGAAAGCGUGGGGAGCAAACAGGAUUAGAUACCCUGGUAGUCCACGCCGUAAACGAUGAGCGCUAGGUGUUGUGGGUGUUGACCCCUGCAGUGCCGCAGCUAACGCAUUAAGCGCUCCGCCUGGGAAGUACGGCCGCAAGGCUAA
rnacentral:rRNA from 1 species